GAUUAAGUUAUUAAGGGCGCACGGUGGAUGCCUUGGCACUAGAAGCCGAUGAAGGACGUUACUAACGACGAUAUGCUUUGGGGAGCUGUAAGUAAGCUUUGAUCCAGAGAUUUCCGAAUGGGGAAACCCAGCAUGAGUUAUGUCAUGUUAUCGAUAUGUGAAUACAUAGCAUAUCAGAAGGCACACCCGGAGAACUGAAACAUCUUAGUACCCGGAGGAAGAGAAAGAAAAUUCGAUUCCCUUAGUAGCGGCGAGCGAAACGGGAAGAGCCCAAACCAACAAGCUUGCUUGUUGGGGUUGUAGGACACUCUAUACGGAGUUACAAAGGACGACAUUAGACGAAUCAUCUGGAAAGAUGAAUCAAAGAAGGUAAUAAUCCUGUAGUCGAAAAUGUUGUCUCUCUUGAGUGGAUCCUGAGUACGACGGAGCACGUGAAAUUCCGUCGGAAUCUGGGAGGACCAUCUCCUAAGGCUAAAUACUCUCUAGUGACCGAUAGUGAACCAGUACCGUGAGGGAAAGGUGAAAAGCACCCCGGAAGGGGAGUGAAAUAGAACCUGAAACCGUGUGCUUACAAGUAGUCAGAGCCCGUUAAUGGGUGAUGGCGUGCCUUUUGUAGAAUGAACCGGCGAGUUACGAUUUGAUGCAAGGUUAAGCAGUAAAUGUGGAGCCGUAGCGAAAGCGAGUCUGAAUAGGGCGUUUAGUAUUUGGUCGUAGACCCGAAACCAGGUGAUCUACCCUUGGUCAGGUUGAAGUUCAGGUAACACUGAAUGGAGGACCGAACCGACUUACGUUGAAAAGUGAGCGGAUGAACUGAGGGUAGCGGAGAAAUUCCAAUCGAACCUGGAGAUAGCUGGUUCUCUCCGAAAUAGCUUUAGGGCUAGCCUCAAGUGAUGAUUAUUGGAGGUAGAGCACUGUUUGGACGAGGGGCCCCUCUCGGGUUACCGAAUUCAGACAAACUCCGAAUGCCAAUUAAUUUAACUUGGGAGUCAGAACAUGGGUGAUAAGGUCCGUGUUCGAAAGGGAAACAGCCCAGACCACCAGCUAAGGUCCCAAAAUAUAUGUUAAGUGGAAAAGGAUGUGGCGUUGCCCAGACAACUAGGAUGUUGGCUUAGAAGCAGCCAUCAUUUAAAGAGUGCGUAAUAGCUCACUAGUCGAGUGACACUGCGCCGAAAAUGUACCGGGGCUAAACAUAUUACCGAAGCUGUGGAUUGUCCUUUGGACAAUGGUAGGAGAGCGUUCUAAGGGCGUUGAAGCAUGAUCGUAAGGACAUGUGGAGCGCUUAGAAGUGAGAAUGCCGGUGUGAGUAGCGAAAGACGGGUGAGAAUCCCGUCCACCGAUUGACUAAGGUUUCCAGAGGAAGGCUCGUCCGCUCUGGGUUAGUCGGGUCCUAAGCUGAGGCCGACAGGCGUAGGCGAUGGAUAACAGGUUGAUAUUCCUGUACCACCUAUAAUCGUUUUAAUCGAUGGGGGGACGCAGUAGGAUAGGCGAAGCGUGCGAUUGGAUUGCACGUCUAAGCAGUAAGGCUGAGUAUUAGGCAAAUCCGGUACUCGUUAAGGCUGAGCUGUGAUGGGGAGAAGACAUUGUGUCUUCGAGUCGUUGAUUUCACACUGCCGAGAAAAGCCUCUAGAUAGAAAAUAGGUGCCCGUACCGCAAACCGACACAGGUAGUCAAGAUGAGAAUUCUAAGGUGAGCGAGCGAACUCUCGUUAAGGAACUCGGCAAAAUGACCCCGUAACUUCGGGAGAAGGGGUGCUCUUUAGGGUUAACGCCCAGAAGAGCCGCAGUGAAUAGGCCCAA
rnacentral:rRNA from 1 species